rnacentral:rRNA from 1 species
UAGGGAAUCUUCCACAAUGGACGCAAGUCUGAUGGAGCAACGCCGCGUGAGUGAAGAAGGGUUUCGGCUCGUAAAGCUCUGUUGUUAAAGAAGAACGUGGGUAAGAGUAACUGUUUACCCAGUGACGGUAUUUAACCAGAAAGCCACGGCUAACUACGUGCCAAG